rnacentral:lncRNA from 1 species
UUUUUUAAAUUUCAACAUCUAUUUAUGAUUUUUUUAUUUUAAAAACUCUUAGAAAACUAGGAAUAAAAGGAAACCUACUUAAUUUAGUAAAGGUUGUACAUAAAAACCAAUAGCAAGAAUUUGUGCUUCAGGGAAGAUGAAAUAGACCUACUUUUCCCUAUUCCUCCCACUAAAUACAACUGAAAACCCUGGUCAUUAUAUAUGAAACAAACAUAAGGAGACCCUGAAAGGUAGAGAGAAGAAGGCAGACCAUCUAGGACGCCAGGACCUAUGGAAUGACACAAUGGUGAGUUCCCCGGGCUUUCUUCUUGACUCAUAUAUCCCAAACCUGGAGCUGAAGAAACUGGCAACUUAGAAAGGCCAACUGGCACAAACCAAAAAGCCCCAACAAAAGUCUGACAUUACCAGACAAAAUACCAGGACGGACAGCCUAUCAAGACAGAAAACUUUUAGAAAAUAACUUCUCUAUUCCAGGCAAACACCAUGAAAUAACUGUGACCCCAUUCCUACUCCAGAAAGACCAAAUGAGAAGCCUAGACUUGCCCUCUUGAGCCUGAGACGAAGUAUCUCUACGUCACUCUGCAGUGGUAUCCUGAAAGACCAAUGAGGAUGCCAAGAACUCUGUUUCUUCAGACCAGUAAAGAGAUCUCCUGCCCAAGGUAUUAGUGGAGAUAGGGGGUAAGGAUGAACUCCCGUACCAGCCCAGCAAUCAUGAUAAUGGCUAAAAGAAGUUCUCUAAACAGAAUGAAAAUUAUAAAAUAGGAACCUUGAAACAUCAAGAAAGAAAAAAGAACAAGCCCCCAGUACGUAGUUGUAUAUUCUGGUUGUGAGUGCCUCUGGUUGUGCUAUGUGGGACGCCGUCUCAGCAUGGCCUGACAAGCAGUGCCACGUCCGCGCCCGGGAUCCGAACCUCCCUGGCCACCAAAGCAGAGUGUGCGAACUUAACCACUCAGCCACAGGGCCAGCCCCAGCCUUUUCAACAAAUUGUACUAGAACAAUUGAACAUCCAUAGGUGAAUAAGAAAAAGAAGAAGAGAAAAGAAAAAGAAGGAAUAGGAGGAGAAGGAAGAAGGGGAGGAGGAGGAGGAGAGAGUAGGGAAAGAGCAGGAGGAGAAGAGGAGCAGGAAGAAGAAGCUUAGACUAAGACGGAUUAUGGACUUAAAUGUAAAAACUUUUUUUAAAAAAUAGGAGAAAAUCUUCAGGGUCUAGAGCUAGGCGAAAAAUUCUUAGAGUUGACACCAAAAGCAUGAUCCAUAAAACGAAAAAUUGAUAAAUUGGACCUCUUCAAAAUUAAAACUUUUGCUCCAUGAGAAACCUGUGGAGAAGAUGAAAAGACAAGCUACAGAACAGAAAACUCAACAGUAAAAAACACUAAUUAGAAAAUGAGAA